AGGCUUUGAUCCUGGCUCAGAUUGAACGCUGGCGGCAUGCUUUACACAUGCAAGUCGAACGGUAACAGGUCUUCGGAUGCUGACGAGUGGCGAACGGGUGAGUAAUGCAUCGGAACGUGCCCAGUCGUGGGGGAUAACGCAGCGAAAGCUGUGCUAAUACCUCAUACGAUCUGCGGAUGAAAGCGGGGGACCUUCGGGCCUCGCGCGAUUGGAGCGGCCGAUGUCAGAUUAGGUAGUUGGUGGGGUAAAGGCUCACCAAGCCAACGAUCUGUAGCUGGUCUGAGAGGACGACCAGCCACACUGGGACUGAGACACGGCCCAGACUCCUACGGGAGGCAGCAGUGGGGAAUUUUGGACAAUGGGCGCAAGCCUGAUCCAGCAAUGCCGCGUGCAGGAAGAAGGCCUUCGGGUUGUAAACUGCUUUUGUACGGAACGAAAAGCUCUGGGUUAAUACCCUGGGGUCAUGACGGUACCGUAAGAAUAAGCACCGGCGUACAUCGGU
rnacentral:rRNA from 1 species